AUUGAACGCUGGCGGCAGGCCUAACACAUGCAAGUCGAGCGAGUGGCGGACGGGUGAGUAAUGUCUGGGAAACUGCCCGAUGGAGGGGGAUAACUACUGGAAACGGUAGCUAAUACCGCAUACCAUCAGAUGAACCCAUAUGGGAUUAGCUAGUAGGUAAGGUAACGGCUUACCUAGGCGACGAUCCCUAGCUGGUCUGAGAGGAUGACCAGCCACACUGGAACUGAGACACGGCCCAGACUCCUACGGGAGGCAGAAGUGGGGAAUAUUGCACAAUGGGCGCAAGCCUGAUGCAGCCAUGCCGCGUGUAUGAAGAAGGCCUUCGGGUUGUAAAGUACUUUCAGUCGGGAGGCGUUACCGACAGAAGAAGCACCGGCUAACUCCGUGCCAGCAGCCGCGGUAAUAC
rnacentral:rRNA from 1 species